rnacentral:rRNA from 1 species
UACAGAGGGGGCAAGCGUUGUUCGGAAUUACUGGGCGUAAAGGGCGCGUAGGCGGCCCGCUAAGUCGAACGUGAAAUCCCCGAGCUCAACUCGGGAACUGCGUCCGAUACUGGCGGGCUUGAAUCCGGGAGAGGGACGCGGAAUUCCAGGUGUAGCGGUGAAAUGCGUAGAUAUCUGGAGGAACACCGGUGGCGAAGGCGGCAUCCUGGACCGGCAUUGACGCUGAGGCGCGAAAGCGUGGGGAGCGAACAGG